AUAACUUAUCCUUCUCUGUCUCUCGUCUAAUUUUUCUAGCGAAGUGUUUGGAUGUUUUACUGCGAGAUCUAUUAUCAGGAGAACUGAACUGUGAAGUAACUUGUCCAACACCAUGCACUGAAGUCAUAUUCAGGACUUCGCUAUCGAUGAGCCAAUGGCCUUCAUUUGGAUAUGAGGAAAUUCUUGAGCAAAAAGUCCAAAACAAAGAAGUGUACACAUCAGAA